rnacentral:lncRNA from 1 species
GCAGAGGCUGUGUGUGUACAUAUGUGUGCAGAGGCUGUGUUUAUGUGUGUGCAGAGGCUGUGUGUGUGUGUGUGUGUGUGUGUGUGUGUAUGUGUGUGUUUAUAUGUGCAGAGCUGUUUUCUUAAUCCCGAGUCCUUUUUUCUUUACUAAGACAAUGUUCUGCAGAUCUGAGACCUCAUGGCUCUGCCUCCCUCACCUUCCUAAUGUGGUCCAGGAAUUCUGGAGAGGAGAGACAGUCCUCAGGACUGGAGAACUGGCGGCCAUUGUACUGGAAGAGAGGCAGCAGGCUGGGUUCCAGGGCGAAGAGCCUGGGGGUUAGGAGCAGAGGUCAUAGCACAGUGAGUGGCAACUGCAGCAGACCCUGGCUGGCCAGAAGAAAGCCACAAUACACCCCCAACCUGGCACUACCAGCUU